AGGUGUCAGCUCCUAAGCGCUCCGGAAUGAAGCUCACAAUCGUCAUCUUCUUGGCUGCCUUGAUCGCAAUCGGUCAUGGUCACAUUACUUUAGAAGAUCCUCAACACCAAGCACCCCAGCGCCACCACAGCAAGCAGAAACAAGGUCACGUGCACACCGUUGAAUAUCACUUCGGUGCUGGACGACCGGGAAUGGGGUGGAACCAAUUAGGCUAGUCCCUCACGCAUCGAUGCACCCCAAAACGACACGCAACGACCACGGACCACACGACGAAACGACUGCGCGCGCCGGAGCAAAAAAUAAAAGAGGGUGUUUUGCUUCGGCCACUUU